rnacentral:lncRNA from 1 species
UUUUGUUCUGUUUUGAGGUUUUUUUGUGUUCUCUUAUCAGUUUGUAUUAUUUUUGUGUCUGUCUUCAUUAUCCUCAGGAGAGUUUCUGGGACAACGUUUAAGCUGGCAGGAUUGUAUCACCUGCCUCAGGCUCUUUUUUUUGUUGUUGCUGGUGUUGUAAAACAAGUAUUUCUCUUUCUCAGUUAAAACCAACAAGCAACCCUCCAACAACUGAAUGCUAAUCCUUUAAUGCUACUUCUGCCUUCUAAGGGGUAGAAUUAUGAUAUAGGUUGAGUCUCUCCCUUUUAGCCCCUCCAGGUUUGGGGUUUGUUUUUAAGGACCAAAUGUGGCAUUCUUAAGUUUUAUAACCAGGUUGCCAAAGGUGAAAAUCUGGGCAGAGUUCCUCUUUUCCAGAAGCACCUCUUCUUCAAACAAAUAGGCAAAAAAAAACCAGAAGAAAUUGCACAAAGCAUGAAGAGGUAAGUGCCCCUUAGAGCUAAAUACCUGCAAGCAACAUGAUUUUAUAAACCAUGUGUCUCAGCUUUUCUGAUUUCAGAAAUUUCACAUGAAUAAUUGAGUGAAACAAACACUCUGUGUGGAACGCACCUAUGGGUGCAGGAAAGCUGUAGUGACAAAGGAGGUGUAAUAGCAUAGGUAGGAAAACACUAGAGAUGUUUGGAAUUGGCUCUUUAUUGACCCAUAUUAGAAAAAGAGAGGAGGGAAAUGGCUUAGAAGAUGGAUAAAAUGUGGUAGCAGCUUCCUUGUCUUAAGUGUACUGUUGAAUCUCUCUAAUAAUGCCUUUGUUCCUGAGAAAGAAAACUUCUGAGGCUUCUUGAAUGAAAACAGGCCUAAAAGAAGCUGCACCCUGAUAACACUAUUUGGUCUGAUAUAAUUUGGAGGUAGGGAAGGGGGAGGUUAGAAUCUCUUAACAGCAACCAUCUGAGGAAGGCUGCCCUUGAAGUAUUUUAUCCUUAGCAGGCUGGGUGUGAUAAAAAAUCCAGUUCAGUUUGACCCUUGGCAGGGUAGGCAGGCAGUAACCUGCCUACAGUACUACUGCUUCUGAGGACCGGAUUUUAUUUCAGUCAAAUGAGAAGGUUUCAUUUCAUGUUCAAUGUUCUUAAUAA